rnacentral:rRNA from 1 species
GGAUAACGCACAUAUGCUGGAAUGCUUUUUGCGUAAAAUGGAUUCGUCUGCCCAAGGAUGGGUCUGCGGCCUAUCAGGUAGUAGUGGGUGUAAUGUACCUACUAGCCUACGACGGGUACGGGUUGUGAGAGCAAGAGCCCGGAGAUGGAUUCUGAGACAUGAAUCCAGGCCCUACGGGGCGCAGCAGGCGCGAAAACUUUACAAUGCGGGAAACCGUGAUAAGGGGACACCGAGUGCCAGCAUCCUAUGCUGGCUGUCCAGGUGUGCAAAAUACACCUGUUAGCAAGGGCCGGGCAAGACCGGUGCCAGCCGCCGCGGUAACACCGGCGGCUCAAGUGGUGGCCGCUAUUAUUGGGCUUAAAGGGUCCGUAGCCGGACCAGUUAGUCCCUUGGGAAAUCUUACGGCUUAACCGUAAGGCUGCCAAUGGAUACUGCUGGUCUUGGGACCGGGAGAGGUAAGAGGUACUUCAGGGGUAGGAGUGAAAUCCUGUAAUCCUUGAGGGACCACCAGUGGCGAAGGCGUCUUACCAGAACGGGUUCGACGGUGAGGGACGAAAGCUGGGGGCACGAACCGGAUUAGAUACCCGGGUAGUCCCAGCCGUAAACGAUGCUCGCUAGGUGUCAGGCAUGGCGCGACCGUGUCUGGUGCCGCAGGGAAGCCGUGAAGCGAGCCACCUGGGAAGUACGGCCGCAAGGCUGAAACUUAAAGG